UCCUGGUGUUUACUUGGAAUCUGCUUUCUAGUGACAUGAAGUCAUUGGCUUCGGUUCUGCCCUCUGGAGCAGGAGAAAACAUCCCCUAUGGGACAGCCCUUGAGAUAUUUGAAGAUGGCUAUCAUAUCUCCUCUCAAGUCUCUUCUUUUCCAGGCUAAACAUGCCCAGCUCCUUCAACCA